ACCUCGGUGGUGCAGUGGUGGCACGCCUCCCACGUAUGAAUGAAACGCGGGUUCAACUCCCGUAUGAGGUA